AACUUUGACCGCGUGAGGUUUAAAGCGACACCGUUUGUCUGUGAUCUCUGAUUCAACGGAGACCCGGUGUGGGGAUUACCGUGCUAACAUUAGACACAGUAUGUCGUCCCAAUAGGUGGAAACUGCCUCUCCCGGGCCGUGUUUUUUUCACCUACACAGGAAUGUCUUUGUUUGCAGCUACGUGCAAUAUGAGCAAUAUUGAUUAAAAACGUAAAUAUUGCCACUACACCCUCGCAAACAAUAACAUACAUCUGAAACAAUAACAAGAGUUCAGUCUGGCUCUAAAUCUUUUAUUUUAUGAAUUUAACCCCGCGAAUUUUGUUGACACUUCGCAGAUGUGUGCAAUGAGGCGUGCGUAUCGGAGGGGUGUGUCUACUCUGCAGUACACUGGUAGGCUGGAGACGCAACGUCGCUGCAUGGCGAUGUUGCCAUACAUUUACAAUCCACCAGCGGUGGCCGAGUGUGCUAAAAAAAACCCCAAAAAAACCCAACAACAACAAAAAAACCCAGACGAUUACACACCUCCACUACACGCUUUCACAAGCAAAAUACGAUUUCAGCAUGGAGGCCACUUCCUGUAGGUUUCUGCGGUACUGCUGCUCCUCCAGGUCUGGCAGGAAGAAGACUGAGAUGAUCCUCUCUGUGAUGUAGAAAGAAGCACUGAUAGAUAGACUUCAGGGGACUCAACAUGUGGCAUCCAGUCCUUGUAGUGAUGAGCCAAAGCACAGCAACUGCAGCUAGAAUAUGAAUCUGAUCUGACCACUGCCACAUCCUGAAUUGUUCCUGGGAGAGGAAAUCCAACACAGAGAGAUCUGUCACAGCAGGGAAGGCAGAAGAUAAAUGUGAGUGUCUGAGACACAGGCGUCAGCGUGCCAUCUAAAAGGAACGAGCUUCAAUCUGACAGUCAACUCAGAGCUGACAUCACGCUCCAGAGAGGGAGAAGUGAGUAAGCCUUCAAACCAGAAAGUGGAAAAAGCUAAAUUACCAGGUUUAUUCCAUGUUCUGUACUCUCACAAAAAAGUCUCUCAUGCCCAAAGUUGCUGAAAGCUAAAAUAAAAUCUGUGGGCUUUUA